AGUCAUACCACGCUGAAACACCGCUUCUUGUACGAUCAUCGAAGUUAAGCAACGUCGAGCUUGGUCAGUACGUAGAUGGGUGACAGCUUGGGAAUAGUAGAUGUUGCAAG